UCCCAGCGGGGUUACCGUACAACUUCCACUGUGGAUUCCGUAGACGUUUCAGCUGAGCACACCCUGGUUCUACGUGCAUUUUCUAAGAUACCAAAUAUGGUUCCUCGCCCUUCAAGCGCUACCUAGAUUGGAUUCGCAAUUAACUCCACUCACAAACACACAGCCAACUGACCUUUAGCGUAUUUACAUCACUCCAAGCGCAUCCUUCCUUCCUCUCCCCUCAUCCAGGUGCCUUGUGGGUAAAGGACUGGAGCGGAAGCGAGUUCCUCCAUCCGCCGCGGUGACAGCUCCUUUGCUACCCUUUGACCUGCGAGGAAGAGAAAACAACAUCAAUGCGAGGAUGACAUCUGAAGGAGGCGACAUGCUUGGGAGUCGUAUAUUUAGUUGAACAUGAGAUGAAGGAUAAUGACCAAGCGACGUCUUCGUGAUGCUGGAGAUGAGGAUGCGCUCAGGUGGGCGCUACCGCUGCAAAUAAACAAGAAGUGGAACAUCUGGGAUGCCCAGGAGAUGCACUCACAGCCCUACAAAAUUAUAAGACGGAAAGAUUUAUAAAUAUAUUAUCAUAAUUAUUUAAUUUUUAUAAUAAUUAUUAUAAUAAUUAUAAUAAUGUAAGUCAGGAACAAGGGUCACAGCAUGAAAUUGUGACUAAUGAGCCACGACCACUUUGUGGCGAGAGGCCUGAGCGUUGGAUCUGAAUGUUUGCUCGCUAUUUGGCAACCAGGAGGUCUCUUCUGAGAGUAAUCCAUCAAAACCUUAUUGUUUUGAACUUAAUAAUGAUCACUUGCAUGUGAACAAUAUGCAUAUCCUUGUUGUAAAAGUGCCUUAGAGUCCUUGAUAAAUUAAAUAUCUACUCAACUAAAAAAAUAAAAAGAUUUCAUGUAAGCAAAACAGCGGAAAGAUGCUCUUCAGGCAAAAUGAAAUGCAAUUUGGUUUCAUAAUGGAGGGAGAAGAUUAGAAAAACACGGCUUUUGUGGGAACCAUAUUUGCAAACUUCAAUGCAAAAUGGAUGUCAUGUGCCUCAUUAUAAAGGCAGGAGAAGUAUGUGUCAUCUCCCCAAAUUGUAAUAAACUGACAAGACAGUCCCGUAUUGCACUAAAAUCACUUUCUUGAGAUUGAACAGUUGAAAUUUUAUCAAAAAUUGUCCUUAAAAAUACACAUUAUUUACUUACAUUAUUUCAGUUGUUUUAUUUUCUUGAUGUCAGCGCAGUGCUAA